UUCAAAUGUUGAAAAACAAACAGUCUUAAUCAUUCAGUUUUCAGAUGUAGAGACAAUAUCUUAAUCAUUCAGAUGUGCAUUCAGAUUCAGACAUCUGAAUCUUAAAAAAACAAAUGCAGCCUUAGUCAAGAUGCGCAAAAGCUGACCCAGACACUAUUUUAUUUUUGUUGAAGUAAAUAGAUUCAUUCAAAGGCAUCAAGAAGAUGCAAACAGUAGAAGGAUAAGUUAGUUAAGCUCCCCAAAAUAAGGAUUUGUAGCUUCUUUAUAAGCUAUAGAGCUAACAAAAUCCAAGACGAGUUCUAAAUUAUUUACAGGGGUCAUUUGGACCAGCUAAAGAGGCUAACUAGACACCUGCCUCGGAAAAGAUUACUGGAAGUUGAAAUUCCAUGAAAACAUCUUUUGUUUCUCUCUAUCCAUAAACACCAAAAUAUAGCACCCGGGAUCAUCAUCCAAAUACUCUUGAUGGCUUUGUUAACUUCCCGUGAACUCCAACUUUCAAGGGCAUCCCUAACAGAGAAAGGUGUGACCCAAGAAAGACCAAAAAAACAACAGCACAUAUUUCAAAGGUCUGAGGCAACAGGACAGUGCAGCAGCAAGUGGUUGACACUUUCUGUGUGCUUGUGGCAGAAGUAGCAUCUGUUGGCAAGCUGGAAUUUCUGUUUGGAGAGAUUAUCCUAUAUGAGGCAUGAGUCAAGCAGUGCAGUCCAGCUGAAACAUAUCACUUUGAUAGAUUAUAGAGACACUACAAAGUUGGGAGGAAGUGAAGCUGCUGGCAAAGAACAGCAACAGGUGGAGAGUCAUCCUAACUUGUAUUUGGUGGACAAUAUAGAGGGAAAGGAAUUCUAGAUGUUUUCAGAACAUAGAAGAUAGUGUGCAACAGGUCAAGUUGAAUUGUAUCUUGACUCUAUGUUUUUGGUGUAAUCAGCUAUACUCUAAUGAUCAUGUCUCUAAUAUUGAUGUACAAGACUCAUUAUAGACAUAGGAUCAUAGAUAGUGGAAUUUGUAAAUAUGAUUUCAGUUUGACUCUAGUAGUGAUCUGUUCUCAUCGAAUA